AGUGAGUGCGAGAAGGGCGUUCGGUGGAUGCCUUGGCACUAGAAGGCGAUGAAGGACGUGGCACGCUGCGAAAAGCCAUGGGGAGCCGCGAGUAGGCUUUGAUCCGUGGAUAUCCGAAUGGGGCAACCCCCUCGCAAGAGGAUCCCUCACUGAAUACAUAGGUGUGGGAGGCAAACCCGGGGAACUGAAACAUCUCAGUACCUGGAGGAAAAGACAUCAAUUGAGAUUCCGCUAGUAGUGGCGAGCGAACGCGGAACAGGCCAGUGGCCAUGAGAAGACAAGCAGAAUGCUCUGGAAAGUGCAGCCAUAGUGGGUGAUAGCCCCUUAUGCGUAAUGCUUCUUAUGGUCCUUGAGUAGGGCGGGGCACGUGAAACCCUGUCUGAACAUGGGGGGACCACCCUCCAAGCCUAAAUACU
rnacentral:rRNA from 1 species